UACAGAGGUGGCAAGCGUUGUUCGGAAUUACUGGGCGUAAAGGGCGCGUAGGCGGCCUUCUCAGUCAGACGUGAAAUCCCCCGGCUUAACCUGGGAACUGCGUCUGAUACUGGAAGGCUCGAGUAUGGGAGAGGGAUGUAGAAUUCCAGGUGUAGCGGUGAAAUGCGUAGAUAUCUGGAGGAAUACCGGUGGCGAAGGCGGCAUCCUGGACCAUUACUGACGCUGAGGCGCGAAAGCUAGGGGAGCAAACGGG
rnacentral:rRNA from 1 species